UGUAGUCGCAGCUUUCUGGACCAGGCAUCCUUUGUCUGAGUCUCCAGUGCGUCGCCCGACGUCUGCCGUGCAUCACGUGUCGGUCCUUUGGGAGGCCCUCGGGGCUCCAGGCUUGGAGGCCUAGAGUACCGCGCCCUUUAACUGAUAAUAUCAUCUAGUCGUGUUGCCGAGCCAACCAUGGACUGGACCUUCGAGUUCCAGUCUAUCAUGGAGCUCUGGGACUUGCUGCAGCGCUUGAAAGAGCAAGGAGCCGCGCAGUCAGACAGCGUGAACCAUCCCCAGCAGCCGGCGGAGCACUGAACAUGUCACUUUCAGCUUACACAAACUACUUACUUCUACUAUCUAAGUAAGCAGUCUGUCAGAGCUGAAACACGUUGCAUUUUCCAUGCUAUUAACAUGCUUUGCAUAUUAAUAGUUUUGAAAAUGCAAUGUUGUAAUAUGAGAUGACUAAGGUAGGCGCGGAUUCAAUUGUCAGAGAUCGUGAGGACCAAUUUUUAAAUCAUCUUUCUUGCAAAAAUCGGUCCUUCGGUCUUUACCUUUGGAUCCGCGCCUGUAAACGCAAUAUCAUUCUAGUAAAUUGAAAUUAACGUGAGAGUAGUAACAUUACAGUACAAUAUAACUAUUGUAGUGAAGCUACUCCUCACAAGGGGAGGGGAGAAGAGGGGUUCACGAGAGCAUUAGUAAUAUAAUACUCUUAACACUCUCAUUUAGUUAAGUUCGUAAACACUCUUCUCCUCUCUGGUUUAUAGGUAAUAAGGUAAAUAUAUUAUAGGCUAUUAUCACAAUGGUAACCUUGGACAACAUUUAGGGUAUAAUUUGAGGAACAGUUCCAUAAUCUCUUGAUCAGUGGUGGUCAAGUAAGUUGAUAUUGUAGGUACUAAGUUAUAUUUAAUCCACAAUAAGUCUUAAGUUAAUUAUAAUAAAAGACAUCUUGGUGAUGAUAUGCUACGUGUACUUAUAAUCUAUUAAAAUAAUAUUUAGGCUAGGUA
rnacentral:lncRNA from 1 species